AACGCAGGCCGCGCCUUGUAACAUCACUCUGUGUUGUUGCAAGGUAUCCACGUAUGAGUGUCAGCCCAAUAUCAUUUCUUGGCUCAAGAAAAUGUUCAUUUUUAAUGAUGAUACAAAUUCUUGAAUACAUAUUUUAUGGAAAUAGAUGUCUGGCCUCAUAUUUGGAAGGUUACCCGCUGGAUUUAA
rnacentral:misc_RNA from 1 species